rnacentral:tRNA from 1 species
UGAGCCGUAGCCCAGUGGUAGCUGUGGGUGUGUGCCUGUUGUGAGGUCGUGGGCUCGAUCCCCCUCGGCACAU